UAGGAAGUGGUGUAGUGGGAGCACAAAGAGUUUUGAUCUCUUAAGUAGGGGUUCGAAUCCCUUUUUCCUAA
rnacentral:tRNA from 1 species